UACGUAGGGUGCGAGCGUUAAUCGGAAUUACUGGGCGUAAAGCGUGCGCAGGCGGUUCGUUGUGUCUGUGGUGAAAGCCCCGGGCUUAACCUGGGAAUGGCCAUGGAAACUGGCGAGCUGGAGUCUGGCAGAGGGGGGUGGAAUUCCGCGUGUAGCAGUGAAAUGCGUAGAGAUGCGGAGGAACACCGAUGGCGAAGGCAGCCCCCUGGGUCAGCACUGACGCUCAUGCACGAAAGCGUGGGGAGCAAACAGG
rnacentral:rRNA from 1 species